UCAUUCAAUCAUGAAAACAGUGAAACCAACAACAAGGCAGAAAGAUUCUUCCACACAAUGAAGUAUCAGUUCCUGAAGGGGAACACUAACAGGUGAAUUGACCAGCUCCUUAGCCUGCUGUGUGGUGAUGUCCACAAAUAUUACUGUUACAUAGAAGAGCUGGCAGCAAGUGGGCGCAUCAAGGGAAACAACGAUGAUGACUUCUCUGAUGCUGUCAAGUCUAUGAUUGAGAAGGGGCUGGAUUCAAAAUGUAAAAUGAAUGAAAACGGAACAUGCAUUAUUCCACCAGAUACUAGCACUCAGUCUCACACAGUUGAUUUGGUCAUGGUCAAAUGUGACUGCAGAACAUCCAGAUGUGGUUCUCUGUGCAAACAUAUAGUUUUCUCGAGAAUUGUUGCACAGCAACAACGACUAGACAUGCAAGACAUCAGGUCUACUC